UCGCAAUAGAUGGAGCCGCCUGUUUUGGAGACUCUGGAGGUCCAUUGUUUAAGUUUGUACUGGAUGAAAGUGGCAUAAAGAAGCCUGUUCUAAUGGGAGUAAUGAGUUAUGUGCUUUGGGGAACCUGUAAAAGCCGGUUUGAUCCGUCCUACUACACUCUCACCCAGCACAAUCUAGACUUCAUUUUUAAAUAUGUCUCCAAGGAUGAGAUGUGUUACGGAUCUGGGAAAAGUAUAUCGAUGCAUAAAAAGACAAAAGGAUUCUAAUUUUAUCUAAUUAUAUUUAUUUUAUUGUAUUCAUUAUUGGAAAUAAAAUAAUAUUGGUUUAAA